UCCUACGGGGGGCAGCAGUAGGGAAUCUUCCACAAUGGGCGAAAGCCUGAUGGAGCAACGCCGCGUGGGUGAAGAAGGUACUGAGUAUUGUAAACCUCUUUUGCCAGGGGACAAAGGCGGCCACGGGUGGCCGUAAGAGGGUACCUGGAGAAAAAGCAUCGGCUAACUCCGUGCCAGCAGCCGCGGUAAUACGGAGGAUGCGAGCGUUAUCCGGAUUUAUUGGGUUUAAAGGGUGCGCAGGCGGCGUGUCAAGUCAGCGGUAAAAUGUCGGGGCUCAACCCCGGCCGGCCGUUGAAACUGGCGUG
rnacentral:rRNA from 1 species